rnacentral:lncRNA from 1 species
CUUUGUAAUGAAAGAGAGACUCUUUACAGGCAACCAUCCUGAUUUCAAAGGCUUUGAAAUACAGGCCAGAAUUGUGUGCCUUGGAUAUUUGACUGUCGCUGAUAAGAUGGAUAACAGAAAAAGGACUUGCUCGCUGCCUGGUGAUUUGGCAUCCAUGAAAUCUACCAUUGAAUGUCAAGCCCUGCUUUCAAAAUGCCUGUGAUUCAAGUCCCAGUGAAUGACCUGCUAUAACAACCCACACUCCCUGGGCAGUAGAUCUGAAUUCUGAAUUCUGGCUGUGGUAGAAACAAAAGAGGAGAAAACCUCAGACUGAUCAAGGAGGAAGUAAGAAAAAUCCAUCCACCAUUAACACUGGUAUUUACA